rnacentral:tRNA from 1 species
AGGGGUGUAGCUCAGCCUGGUCAGAGCGUCGGUCUCCAAAACCGAAUGUCGGGGGUUCGAAUCCUCCCACCCCUGCCA